rnacentral:lncRNA from 1 species
UCAUUAAAUAUGUUAUUUGUUCAUCUGCAUCUGGCUUUGGAAUCGCAGAUAUGGCACCUAGGGGAGGUGGAGCACGUAGAUAUGCUGAAAAUAGGAAUUCAAACACACCGAGAUCUCGUGAGAUGUUGAGUCCCACAUCUGAUCAGUCACCCGAAGCUGAUCAGUCACCUGAACCUCCAGUUACAGAAACACCACUUUUGGAUGCA